GGGCUGUAGUUCAAUGGCAGAACUUCUGCUUCCCAAGCAGACAGCGCGGGUUCGAUUCCCGUCAGCCC
rnacentral:tRNA from 2 species